rnacentral:other from 1 species
GUUGCCCUGCGCGGUGCGUGUCAGAUCAUUUUUAUAACCCACAUUUCGUUAUUAGGGAUGCCAGAUCAGUCUGCGGAUUGCAGGCCUCCCGGCUGCUGUCUGCGGCCGGAAGUUGGAAGCAGUGAACCAGGCUGGAGGCAACCCACCUGCCGGUAAAGGUGCAGGUUAUAGCGGGGUCUGCACGGCCGCAGCGGGGCUUUG